rnacentral:lncRNA from 1 species
AGUAAAUGCACUCAUGCUGCUCCAGGAGCUCUUCUCUGCAACAAGCCACCCAUCUGCCAUCAACAAGUUAAGACCAAGAGAACUAACGGCUGCGGAAAGGAGACUGAAGCUUUGAUUAACCAGCUGAGCAGUUAGAGGUGGAGAAAUUUAAUAACUUAUAUUCAAAACUGAUUUAGGGAUCAGAGCAAUCACAGAAAAUGAAACCAAUGCUUUCCAGAGGGAUAUCCUAAGGAAAAAACAACUCGUCCUGGUGGAUUCAAUUUUACUUGGAAAGCCUGGGACACAGAAAACAGGAAACUGGUCAAAGGCUCCUACAUGUUAGAGCCUUUUACAGACUCACUGCGUUGAGUCUAACAACCGCGACUGAAUGCAGCCUCCAAUGUGCUCAGAAGAAUGGUGUUCAUCUCCAGGAAGUGCUGCCCUCCCACUUUAAGAAGAAUUAGGCAGUGCUCAAUGGUUCAGAACCACAGGCAGCUCCGAUCCCAAACACGACUCCAUAUGUCAAACAUGUCAGACCAAGGACCGUAUAAUGAAUAUGAACCCACCCAUGAAGGACCCUUCAUCAUCAUUAAUGGUUAUGGACAGUGCAAGUGUCAGCAGCUGCCAUACAAAGAAUGUGAAGUAUAAUAUCUACCCAUCAUCAAAAAUCACAUCAGAUAAGUAACCUAUUUUACAUAGUAGAGGCUAAAUACAUAUCUAAUUUUUACCAAUGGUGACAUUAAGCCUAAUUUUCCAAACUAAGUGGAGACUUAGUUUUUGAAGUGUUGAAGUAUUUUUAAUUUUUUAAAUGAAACCAUAUUUUAAGUGUUAAAUGAAUCAAUGCUCACAUUAAUUUGCACUCCUGUUGGAAAGUCUAAAAUGCUUACUUCAAAAUAAGAAAUGUAUGUAAUUAUAUACAAUCGUGUGUAAACCUUUACACUAAGGUCUCCAUAUACUAUUUUUUUCUACUGAAAACAAUUUAGAAAGAAGCUAUUGGGCAGAAACAGAUAUAGAUCAAUACCUGUUUGAUCACUGCUCUCCAUCCCAUGUACCACAACUAUCUUGCUGCUUAAAAGGAGACUUAGUAAAGUUCUCUUGUAUGAUAAUUUGGUAUUUACUCAAAUCUUCAAUUUCUUGCCAGGGUGGGAAGUAGAAUUUCAUGUAUGCUGAAGACUGGUAAAUAUUAAACAUUCUCCUUCCAGA